rnacentral:misc_RNA from 1 species
AAGUCGUAACAAGGUUUCCGUAGGUGAACCUGCGGAAGGAUCAUUACCUUUCUAUGCAGAAGUGUAGGCAGGGUGAGUUGCUCUAGCAGCGAUUCCCCUCUCUGCGCUUCCUGUAUGCUACCCUUGUCUCUCAAAUACUAUUUGUUUCCUCGGCAGGCUUGCCUGCCGGUCGGAUUAACCUAUAACCUCUUCAAUUUUCAAUCAGCGUCUGAACAAGUUAAUAAUUACAACUUUCAACAACGGAUCUCUUGGUUCUG